AACGAACGCUGGCGGCAGGCCUAACACAUGCAAGUCGAGCGAGGACUUCGGUCCUAGCGGCGGACGGGUGAGUAACGCGUGGGAACGUGCCCUUUGCUACGGAAUAGCCCCGGGAAACUGGGAGUAAUACCGUAUGUGCCCGAGAGGGGAAAGAUUUAUCGGCAAAGGAUCGGCCCGCGUUGGAUUAGGUAGUUGGUGGGGUAAUGGCCUACCAAGCCGACGAUCCAUAGCUGGUUUGAGAGGAUGAUCAGCCACACUGGGACUGAGACACGGCCCAGACUCCUACGGGAGGCAGCAGUGGGGAAUCUUAGACAAUGGGGGAAACCCUGAUCUAGCCAUGCCGCGUGAGCGAUGAAGGCCUUAGGGUUGUAAAGCUCUUUCAGUGGGGAAGAUAAUGACGGUACCCACAGAAGAAGCCCCGGCUAACUCCGUGCCAGCAGCCGCAGUAACAC
rnacentral:rRNA from 1 species